rnacentral:rRNA from 1 species
AUUGAACGCUAGCGGGAUGCUUUACACAUGCAAGUCGAACGAGUGGCGGACGGGUGAGUUAUAUAUCGGAACGUGCCCAGUAUCGGGGGCUAACUACUCGAAAGAGUGGCUAAUACCCCAUACUAUUGGAGCGGCCGAUCUCGGAUUAGCGAGUUGGUGGGGUAAAGGCUCACCAAGGCAACGAUCCGUAGCUGGUUUGAGAGGACGACCAGCCAAACGGGGACUGAGACACGGCCCAGACUCCUACGGGAGGCAGCAGUGGGGAAUUUUGGAAAAUGGGGGAAACCCGGAUCCAGCCAUGCCGCGUGUAUGAGAAGGCCUUCGGGUUGUAAAGUACUUUUGGCAGAGAAGCGGUAUCUACAGAAUAAGCACCGGCUAACUACGUGCCAGCAGCCGCGGUAAUUC